rnacentral:sRNA from 1 species
UAGAUAACCGGGCCCGGGGAAAAUUAUGGUUCGANUCAGGAAAAGGAGCCUGAGAAACGGCNACCACNUCCAAGGAAAGCAGCAGGCGCNCACAAUUACCCAAUCCCGACACGGGGAGGUACUGACAAUAAAUAACAAUACGGGGCUCUUUCGGGUCUCGUAAUUGGAAUGAGUACAAUUUAAAUCCAUCAACUUUCGAUGGUAGGAUAGACUUAACGAGGAACAAUUGGAGGGCAAGUCUGGUGCCAGCAGCCGCGGUAAUUCCAGCUCCAAUAGCGUAUAUUAAAGUUGUUGCAGUUAAAAAGCUCGUAGUUGAAUUUCGGGAUUGACACAUCGGUCGUGCCUUAAGGGGUAUGAACUGGUGUAGUCAAUUUCUCACCUUCUGGAGAACCGCGAUGCCCUUAAUUGGGUGUCGCGGGGAACCAGGACCUUUACUUUGAAAAAAUUAGAGUGUUUAAAGCAGGCAUUUUGCUUGAAUACAUUAGCAUGGAAUAAUAAAAUAGGACGGCAUGAUUCUAUUUUGUUGGUUUCUAGGAUCACCGUAAUGAUUAAUAGGGAUAGUUGGGGGCAUUAGUAUUCAAUUGUCAGAGGUGAAAUUCUUGGAUUNUAUUGAAGACUAACUACUGCGAAAGCAUUUGCCAAGGAUGUUUU